GUAUAACGUACUGCACAUAUGUGCUAUAUUCUCGUUCCAGCGCAAAGUACUGCAUAUAAACGGACUUUCAAGCGACAUUAUGCGUGACAAUAUCUGCGGCGGCUGGCUAGGCCCGCUAUAUGCGGCCCCGAGCCAACGCAACGU
rnacentral:lncRNA from 1 species